AACGAACGCUGGCGGCAUGCCUAACACAUGCAAGUCGAACGAGACCUUCGGGUGUAGUGGUGCACAGCGGCUUAAUGCCAGGGAACCUGCCCUUCGGUCCGGCAUAACUAACCGCACGGGGUCUUACUAACGUAUAUUGUCCUACGACCAAAGAUUUAUCGCCGUUGGAUUGGCGCGCGUUGGUUUAGCUAGUUGGGAGGGUAAAAGCCUACCAAGGCGACGAUCCAUAGCUGGUCGGUGAGGAUGAUCUGCCACACUGGGACUGAGACACGGCCCAGACUCCUACGGGAGGCAGCAGUGGGGAAUAUUGGACAAUGGGCGAAAGCCUGAUCCAGCAAUGCCGCGUGAGUGAUGAAGGCCUUAGGGUUGUAAAGCUCUUUUACCCGGGAUGAUAAUGACAGUACCGGGAGAAUAAGCUCCGGCUAACUCCGUG
rnacentral:rRNA from 1 species